rnacentral:rRNA from 1 species
UACGUAGGGGCAAGCGUUGUCCGGAAUUAUUGGGCGUAAAGAGCGCGUAGGCGGUCCGAUAAGUCGGCUGUGAAAGUCAGGGGCUCAACCCUUGAAAGCCGGCCGAUACUGUCGGACUAGAGUCCGGAAGAGGCAAGUGGAAUUCCCGGUGUAGCGGUGAAAUGCGCAGAUAUCGGGAGGAACACCGGUGGCGAAGGCGGCGACC